rnacentral:rRNA from 1 species
GACGUAGGGCGCGAGCGUUGUCCGGAUUUAUUGGGCGUAAAGAGCUCGUAGGCGGUUUGUCGCGUCUGCUGUGAAAACGCGAGGCUCAACCUCGCGCCUGCAGUGGGUACGGGCAGACUAGAGUGCGGUAGGGGAGAUUGGAAUUCCUGGUGUAGCGGUGGAAUGCGCAGAUAUCAGGAGGAACACCGAUGGCGAAGGCAGAUCUCUGGGCCGUAACUGACGCUGAGGAGCGAAAGCAUGGGGAGCGAACAGG